CUCUUCCCCACAAUUUCCCCUCGGUUCUCUCACUCUCAAUGCCCUCCAUUAAUUUUCUAUCCUUUCUAAUCUCUCUCAUAUUAUCCUCUCUUUUCUCUCUUUCUAUACUCAUAAGACAAACACAAAUAAAAACCCAAAAAAACACAUAAAAUAAGAUCUAACAAGGUGUUACUCAAGAACACCCAUGGUGGUGCUUAAGAACACACGGUGGUGUUCAUGAAGAGCACGGUGGCUCCGAUGAAUACGCGGUGGCCGGCACGGUGGUGCCGCCUCGAUAUUUCCAGAAAUUUGUAAUAAAGCUAAGGUCCGUUGCGAUGAAUCCGAUUCAAGGUUUUCUUGGUGCGUUCGCCGCAACGACUUCCAGCCACUUUUUUCCCGACCAAAUCCUCUUUUCUGAGUUUCCCCUUUGAUUUAUAUAGUUAGGGUUAGUGAUUAGAAUUAGGAAUUAAUUAGAUUCAAUUGUUAUUAGCUUCAGAUUUGGUUUGUAUAAUGGUUCAGCUUUAUUUACGUUCUUGUGAGAUUCAAAUUAUAAAGUUUGAUUUCUGUUUAAUAAAAUUUGAUUCGAUUUUUAUGUUAA